rnacentral:rRNA from 1 species
GUCGAGAAUCUUUCACAAUGGGCGCAAGCCUGAUGGAGCGACGCCGCGUGGGGGAUGAAGGGCUUCGGCUCGUAAACCCCUGUCAUUUGCGAACAAAGCGGACGACCUAACACGUGGUCCGUUGAUAGUAGCGAAAGAGGAAGGGACGGCUAACUCUGUGCCAGCAGCCGCGGUAAUACAGAGGUCCCAAGCGUUGUUCGGAUUCACUGGGCGUAAAGGGUGCGUAGGUGGCCGGAAAAGUCUGAUGUGAAAUCCCCGGGCUCAACUCGGGAACGGCAUCGGAUACUGUCUGGCUGGAGGGUCGGAGGGGAGACUGGAAUUCUCGGUGUAGCAGUGAAAUGCGUAGAGAUCGAGAGGAACACCAGUGGCGAAGGCGAGUCUCUGGACGACUCCUGACACUGAGGCACGAAAGCUAGGGGAGCAAACAGGAUUAGAUACCCCUGUAGUCC